AACGUAGGACGCAAGCGUUAUCCGGAGUUACUGGGCGUAAAGCGCGGGCAGGCGGUUCUGCCAGUCUGAUGUGAAAUCUCCUCGCUCAACGGGGAGCAGCCAUUGGAAACUACAGAACUGGAGUCUGACAGAGGUAGGCGGAAUUCCGGGGUGGAGUGGUGAAAUGCGUAGAGAUCCGGAGGAACACCAGAGGCGAAGGCG
rnacentral:rRNA from 1 species